rfam:Otolemur garnettii contig185633, whole genome shotgun sequence.
AACCGCUUGAGCUACAGGCACUGAGCCAGAUGACUAGGUUUUUCAUAGGCAUGUGUGAGAUGUGCUUCCCUCAAACCUGGUUAUAAUCAACAAACUAAUACUUUAACACAUUACCUGUCUGAUG